AGGGCACCACCAGGAGUGGAGCCUGCGGCUUAAUUUGACUCAACACGGGAAAACUCACCCGGCCCGGACACCGUAAGGAUUGACAGAUUGAGAGCUCUUUCUUGAUUCGGUGGUUGGUGGAGCAUGGCCGUUCUUAGUUGGUGGAGCGAUUUGUCUGGUUUAUUCCGAUAACGAGCGAGACUCUGGCCUACUAAAUAGAGACGGAAUUAUUACUGUUCCGGAUUCUUCUUAGAGGGACAAGUGGUUUUCAGCCACACGAAAUUGAGCGAUAACAGGUCUGUGAUGCCCUUAGAUGUCCGGGGCUGCACGCGCGCUACACUGAAGGAAUCAGCGUGCUAAAACCAUUGUCGAAAGGCAUUGGUAAACCCAUCAAAAUCCUACGUGAUUGGGAUCGGGAAUUGCAAUUAUUUCCCUUGAACGAGGAAUUCCCAGUAAGUGCGGGUCAUAAGCUCGCGUUGAUUACGUCCCUGCCCUUUGUACACACCGCCCGUCGCUGCCCGGGACUGAGCCGUUUCGAGA
rnacentral:rRNA from 1 species